rnacentral:rRNA from 1 species
ACCGCAACUUCUGUAUUUAUUAUCGCCUUCAUCGCUGCCCCUCCAGUAGAUAUUGAUGGUAUUCGUGAGCCUGUUUCUGGUUCUUUACUUUAUGGAAACAAUAUUAUCUCUGGUGCUAUUAUCCCUACUUCUGCGGCGAUCGGAUUGCACUUUUACCCAAUUUGGGAAGCUGCAUCUGUUGAUGAGUGGUUAUACAAUGGUGGUCCUUAUGAGCUAAUUGUUCUACACUUCUUACUUGGUGUAGCUUGUUAUAUGGGUCGUGAGUGGGAACUUAGUUUCCGUCUGGGUAUGCGUCCUUGGAUUGCUGUUGCAUAUUCAGCUCCUGUUGCAGCUGCUACUGCUGUUUUCUUGAUUUACCCUAUUGGUCAAGGAAGCUUUUCUGAUGGUAUGCCUUUAGGAAUCUCUGUUUCACUUAGACAUGCAAAAUUUAUUUGUUACUGA